GUUCAGGCUUGAGUUCUGAAACAAGGCUCCCUCACUGAAAGUUUAGCAUUGUUCAUGGAGGCUCAGAGGGGGGAGGCACUGAUUCCAGCUCUUCUCCUCUGACAAGGCUGUGGUCUGAUCUUCAGCAUCCUCCUGUCCUGGUAGAUUAUGUCAUGAACAGCUCUCCUUGGGGUCGUUUGUGAAGAGAUAUCUUGGAGGAUAGUAUCAUCACCGGUUGGGGACCAGCGUGGCUGCCUAAAUUGUCCAUCCUAGUGUUUGUCAAGAAAGAUGAGGUGCUGGAUGCUCAGCGCUUUCCCCUUGCCUAUGGCUGAAUGUCGGCCGAUGCUGUUUGCUAAACAAGAGUGCCGGUGGCAGAGGAAUUAGAAGAAAUCCCUUCUUAAUUGGAAACAGGACAAAUCCAGGCAAACGGGUGCUGAGCCAGCAACAGCAUGGGACCAGCUCGCCUUCUGUGGGUAUCAUUGAAAUUCAGCAUCCUUCACUGCCUCAAACAUUGAGGUCCUGCAGGUAUGACUUUGCUUCAUGUGGAUCUCCAAAGUUGCUAAAGAUGCUAAUGAACCUCUACUGUAAGGUCUGAAAUCAUCCAGGAUGACAGCAGAUCUUUCCCAAAGGCUGCCCAGGUCAGGAAGGGGGGGAACUGCAGAGGCAAAGCAGGAGGAAGUAAGAAGGAUGCUUGUCCCAGUGCCCUACUCAACUACCUUCUCUGGCGUGGCUUUGAGGGGGGCCCAGAGGUGGAAGGAGUGGAAAUCUGGCUCCAGGUGGCAGUCCUGAUUUGCAUGUCCACUCUUUGGAGCUCCCAAGCACCUCCUUAGGCAGUUGACCUGAUCACAGGUAGUGGGGUACUGAGCCACGUUGGAGCCUUGCUAUUGUAGCUGCAGCGUACUCUGGGGAGAAAAAUAUGGAAGGGGGAGGCUUGUAUCUCCUUGGAAAAAGCUGGGGUGUGCAUUUGGCUUUCUCCUGAGUCUUCUUGUUUUGCCUCUGAGCUGCCCCCUCCUCAUGCAUUCCUGCACAAACCCCCUUUGUUUGCUGCCCUCAGUCAGGAUCCAGGCAGCAACAGCCCAGAUGUUCCCUAUCAAACUCAGAGCCAUGCCAACAAACUUUGGCACACAUGAAAGUGUGCUGAGGAAUGGGCCUCUGCAAAUACCAUUCUUUCCCCCCUUCCCAUUCCUGCAAGUAUUUUUAAAUGUUAAUGGCUUCCAUGCCGCAACAGCCCAUGGGGGACUGCAAAUUAAUGGUGAGGGGCAAAUCUGUCCCAACUUUGAAACCCUGGCCCUCGUUCCUGCAGUGUGGUUUUCCCGUGGGUGAUGGUGCAUGGAGGGAGCAGACACAGCUCAGCCUGUAGAGGAGAAAUCCCAGUAAAACUGGAUGAUUGCGUGAGUCCAAUGGAUAGUCUCUGCCCAUUGGUGCUGUUGUUCCUUUCCCACCUCCCCACACUGACAGGCUAAGGAGGUGAUGAAUGAGGGUGGUGAACCCCUCACCCUUGAUCAGAGAUGAUCUCCUUGAGGAGUGCAUCCAGGUUUCCAUCCUGGAACAGUACCCUUCUCUUUUUGCACAUGAAGGGAUGGUGCAAGCCGUAGGUCCUUGUCUCAGACAUGGGCUUGGAGAUAAAUGGAACUUGGAGGAAAGGCGAAGGUAAAGAGGCAAGAAAAGAAAAAAUGGUCUGAGCUGAUGAAAG
ensembl:lncRNA